GUUGAGCCUUAGGCACAUGCCAAGGUAUUUUCGAUUUUUGUUUUUCGAAGAUCAACACAUAAUUCAAGAGGUGAGUUGAGCUUCGGGUCGCAUGCCGGGCUAUUUUUGAUUUCUUUUUUAAUAAAAAAUAAAGAAUAAAGAUAGCACAAUUGAACAAAAUUUAGUGCUUUUAAGUCUUUGCUCUAUCCCUGUUUCACAGCAAUGAGCAAAGAGGGGCAGCUGUAAACACUAAAUUUUGUCCGGCUUUAAUUUUCAAAAAAAAUACAAAAAUAAAAAAUUAUAUUUUGACCCCUUAACUUUUUUAAAAUUAUGUUUUGACCCCUUAACUUUCCUAAAAUUACAUUUUAACCUAUAAACUUCUCGAAAUUAUAUUUUAACCCCUAAAUUUUCUCAAAAUUACACUUGGACCCAAAAGUUUUGUUGCAUUUGCAAUCUGGUCCCUCUAGCAGACAGGCGCGAUUUGCGCACCUGCCCUCCGCGAUUUUCGGCCGCCGGCCCAAUGCAUGGCCUCUCUUCUCCACUGCCACCUGAAGACAACAAGGAAGAAGACAAAAUUGAAGGAUUUAAAAGAAGAAAAUGAGAGAAAGAGAGGCGGAUGGGGGUUUUUGCAGAAAAAAAUUGAAAAAAAAACAGCAGCAAAACAUUCAAGAAACAGCAGCCCAAAGCCUCCUCCUGCAACCAUCCCCAUCGCCGCACCGCCACCGUGACAUCACCACCACCACCACCGCAACCACCAAAACCACCACUUAAAACCCAACCACAAAGCAACCAACCAAAAAUCAAGAAAAAAAACUUCCAAAAAUCAGCAGCCAAGGAUUUAAAAAAAAAAGCAUUUCCCUUGGAAUCGUCGGCCACCGAGCGCGGAGAGGAGCCGAGGACAAGUACAGUGGCGGCGCUUUCAACCUUGGGGGUUGCCGAGAGAAGGAGGAAGAAGAAAGAAGAAAAAAAGAAAGAAGAAAAAGAAAAAUAAAGAAAAAGAAGAAGAAAAAGAAAAACGAAAAAAAGAGAGAAAAAAAAUAAAAAAUAACAGACGGGUCAACCCGACCCGACCCGUGCAAACCAGCCCGAACAGGCCAGCCCAGCAGACCAUCCACACCAGCAGCAGCAGGCCCAAAGAGCAGCCCAAAAAAAAACAAAGCAGAAAAAAAUAGAAGCAGGCCACAACAGGCCCAGUGCAGCAGCUUGUACUAAGCCCAGCGCAGAAGCAGGCCAGCCCAGCAGGCCCAGUUCGCCCAGCAGCCCAGUAGAAAAAAAAGAAAAAGAAAAGAGAAGAAAAGAAAAAAGAAAAAAGGGGGGCCCAAGUUGUGCGGCCCAUUCAAUUAAGCUUGUAUUUUCGAGCUUUUCGGUAAUUUUCUUUUUCCAUUUUUAAUUUAAUUUGUGUACUUUUAUAAUAUCUCGUAUUUUAUAUUAUGGUUUUAAUAUUUUCUUUAUUUCUAUUUUAAUUUUACAAAACAUCAUUAUAUUUAUUUAUUUUAAUUUUAAAUAAUUUCAAUAAAUAAGGCAACGAAUCGAUUUAACAUUAAAUCGUUUGAUUUCAUCGCUAUGUUGGGUGAAUAUCACCAGUUUGUGUUAAACACGAUACGCCCUUUUAAGAAUCGAAAAUAUUCAAAAAAUUUCGUGUUUUUUUUUUUAAAUAAGGUUUCUCGUGUUUUAAUAGAAUCACGAUUAAAUAUUAAGUUGAAUCGAUUUAACACUAAUUCGAUGAUUUCAUCGCCAUGUAGGGGUGGAUAUCAUUGAUUCGUGUCAAAAACGGUACCUUAUUUAAAAAAAUAAUCGUGUUUAAAAAAUUUUCAUGUUUUCAAAAUUUCUCGUGUUUCAAAAAAUAAUAAUAAAAUUUCUUGUGUUUUAUAUUCGUUUUUUAAAAAAAACUUCGUGCUUCAAAAAUUUUCGUAUUUCCAAAUAUUUUCGUGUUUCAAAAAAUCUCGUGUUUUCAAAAAUUUUCAUGUUUUAGAAAUUUUCAUGUUUUUAAAAUUCUCGUAUUGCAAAGAUUUCCGUGUUUUCAAAAAUUUUUCGAAUUUCAAAAUUCUCAUUUUUUUUUAAAAAUCUCAUGUUUCGAUCAAAUCACAAUUAAAUGUUAAUUUGAACUCGUAUUUUUGAAAAUUAAGACAACACACGUUUAACGAGAUAUCAAUUUUGGGUGUCGCGAGGGUGCUAAUACCUUCCUCGCACGUAAUCGACUCCGGAACCCUAAUUUCCUCUGGAUUUUGACGUAGACCUAAACUCGACCUUUUUAAAAGAAAAUUUAUAAAAUAAUUUUUUUAUUAAAAGGAGGAUUUAUUAGGUGUCCGAUCACAACUAGGAAAAAGGAUCGGUGGCGACUCCCUUUUUAAAUAAAAUCGAAAUUCCGUUUUCAAUUUUUCAAUAAUUACUUCGACUAGCGCCCGUGCAAAAAUUUUUAGGUCGCUACAUCCAUUUUUUCUUUCUUUGCUGUCUUUGUUUGUUUUUGUUUGCAGGUACGGUGUAUAAAGGUACGUGCCGUGGAGGUGUGGUAUGUGCGAGGGCAGAGGCUGGGUCCUGGUUGUUGCGGCGCUGGAGUAGUAUACGGCUAGGGUUUUUUUGUUCCAUUUUGGUGUUGGGCCGUAUGGUAAUUUGGGCCAGGGUUAGGUGUUAGCUUUUACUUUCUGUAAUUGGGUUAGGUAUUUGGUCUGUAUUGGGCUGGUUUAUUUUUGGGCAUGCAACCAUGGACUUUUAUUUAAUAAUUUUUAUAUUUGGCUUUUUAUUAUUUACGAUUUUAGUAUAUGGGCUGGCAAAAAUGGGUCAUUACAGCUAUAAACUGCGAAAUAAAAGAGCUGUUGAGAGUAAUGAGGAAGAUGUAGCUGGUGCUAAUUUGGCCGAUGAAAGCAGUGAGAUUUCUUGUUAGUGUCAACGAGCGAUAACUCCAAGCUCACGUCUAAGUUGUCUAAGUGGAUCCUAGAUUCAGGAUGUUCUUUUCACAUGUGUCCCAAUAGAGAAUGGUUCUCCACAUACAGUUCGGUUGAAGGUGGAGUUAUGCGCAUGGGAAACGAUUCAUCUAUUAAGGUAAUUGGUAUUGGUACUGUUAAAAUUAGGAUACACGAUGGGACGAUUAAGACACUCUCAGAUGUCAGGUAUUUACCUGAUUUACGAAAGAAUCUCAUCUCCUUGAGUAUUUUAGACUUGAAAGGAUGCAGAAUCAACAUCGAGUCGAGCGGCAUUAAAGUAUCUCGUGGAGCUCUCGUUUUGUUAAAAGGUUUUGAAAAGUUAAGGCACUGUGUUCGUGAAAAUUAGACCCGGGUUAGUUUUGAUUUGGCAGUGUACAAGUCGAAGGCUAGAAGUCUUCCAGUUUCUAAGCACAGAUUCGACUCAGUUAAUUCUCUGCAUAGUUCAAGAUAGACUCGUGGCGAGCUUUGGCAAAGAUGGCGUUGUAGAAUUAUGAGUCAAGGUGAAGAUUUGUUAAGUACAUCCCUCUGAAAGUUUUGUUAAUCAUCAUUGGGGUUGAGCUCAUUGGAUGAGGGAACACUAGUAUUGGGGUUAGCCAUUGUCAUCCACUUACGACACCAAAUUGUUUGAGACUGUCAAGGAGGAACAGAUGACAGUUGUAAUGGUGGUUCACCUUUGGUCGAGACGGAGAGCCACUAAAUAGGGUGUCUAGUAAAGUUGAUUGAUGAAGUAAGUCUAGGUAGAAAGAGGAAGAGGAGAAAGGAUAGAUGGUUUUCAUGUCUUCCUCUUCUCUCGGGUGUUAUGGUGUACUUAUAUAUACGGGGAUAAGGGAUUCUGUGCAUCCUAAGCUCAUUGACAAUAAAAUUAUACCUUGUUGCAGCGGCGAUGAUGUGGAUACAUUAGCUCGUGGUUUACCUAUGAGUUUGAAUUCCCACGUGCAUCCAACAAGAGUGAUCUUAUGAAGGUUCACCAGUCUAUUGUGGUUCGUGGUUCUCCAAUUUUGUCUGGUUAGAAGUUUGUCCAGUGUGGAUACGUUAACUCGUGGUUUACCUAUGAAUGAUACGUGGAGAGACACGUGAAGGAGAUAUAACAUAUAUUAGUACAAGAAAAACAAUACCAAAGAAAUUUAUAUUUUUCUAUGUUCCCUAACUAAUAAUAAUAACCAAACAUCAAAACUUGAUUGUUGGAUUAA